UACAGAGGUGGCAAGCGUUGUUCGGAAUUACUGGGCGUAAAGGGCGCGUAGGCGGCCUUCUAAGUCAGACGUGAAAUCCCCCGGCUUAACCUGGGAACUGCGUCUGAUACUGGGAGGCUAGAGUAUGGGAGAGGGAUGUAGAAUUCCAGGUGUAGCGGUGAAAUGCGUAGAUAUCUGGAGGAAUACCGGUGGCGGAGGCGGCAUCCUGGACCAUUACUGACGCUGAGGCGCGAAAGCUAGGGGAGCAAACGGG
rnacentral:rRNA from 1 species